rnacentral:rRNA from 1 species
UACGAAGGGGGCUAGCGUUGUUCGGAAUUACUGGGCGUAAAGCGCGUGUAGGCGGCCCGAUAAGUCCGCUGUGAAAGUCCAGGGCUCAACCCUGGGAUGCCGGUGGAUACUGUCGGGCUAGAGUCCGGAAGAGGCGAGUGGAAUUCCUGGUGUAGCGGUGAAAUGCGCAGAUAUCAGGAGGAACACCUACGGCGAAGGCGGGUUGCUGGGCUGACACUGACGCUGAUGCGCGAAAGCCAGGGGAGCGAACGGG